UACGUAGGGACCAAGCGUUGUUCGGAUUUACUGGGCGUAAAGGGCGCGUAGGCGGCCGCCUAAGUCAGACGUGAAAUCCCUCGGCUCAACCGGGGAACUGCGUCUGAUACUGGGUGGCUUGAAUUCGGGAGAGGGAUGCGGAAUUCCAGGUGUAGCGGUGAAAUGCGUAGAUAUCUGGAGGAACACCGGUGGCGAAGGCGGCAUCCUGGACCGAGAUUGACGCUGAGGCGCGAAAGCCAGGGGAGCAAACGGG
rnacentral:rRNA from 1 species